rnacentral:rRNA from 1 species
GACGAACGCUGGCGGCGUGCUUAACACAUGCAAGUCGAGCGGAAGGCCCUUUCGGGGGUACUCGAGCGGCGAACGGGUGAGUAACACGUGAGUAAUCUGCCCCUGGCUUUGGGAUAGCCACCGGAAACGGUGAUUAAUACCGGAUACGACCACUUCUCGCAUGGGAUGGGGGUGGAACGUUUUUCGGCCAGGGAUGUGCUCGCGGCGUAUCAGCUUGAUGGUGAGGUAAUGGCUCACCAUGGCUUCGACGGGUAGCCGGCCUGAGAGGGUGACCGGUCACACUGGGACUGAGACACGGCCCAGACUCCUACGGGAGGCAGCAGUGGGGAAUAUUGGACAAUGGGCGGAAGCCUGAUCCAGCAACGCCGCGUGAGGGAUGACGGCCUUCGGGUUGUAAACCUCUUUCAGCAGGGACGAAGCGCAAGUGACGGUACCUGCAGAAGAAGCACCGGCCAACUACGUGCCAGCAGCCGCCGUAA